CAUCCGAAAACUUUUCUUUUUUCCUUCCAAACCUGCUACCCAUUUGAAAAAUUAAUUAGCUGAAGCAGGAGAUCAUGAAUAUAUGCUUUGAACAUCCUGAGCUGUUUGGCUAUUCUCGCUGUAAACUCUUGAUAUCCCAAUUUGUAUAAUUUCUUAUUUUUCACUACUUUAGUUGGAAUUGGUGUUGGGGUAUUAAGAGUUUACAAUGAGAUAGCCAACGGCUCAUGUUGUUUUGAAGGCAUAUAUAUGAUAUAGGUUGGUUACGUAGAAUGAGUGGUGUAUUUUACAGAUGUGGAAAGUCGGGCUACAGGUAUUCGUUUUAGACAUAUAAUAUAUCAUUUUGAAUCUUGUGACAAGAUGAACCAAACUUAGAACAACAUGUGGUUGAUCUAGAAAUUUUGUUUCUUUUCUGGUCAUUUUGUUAUUCUAAGUAUUUGUUCUCUCUAUUUUUCCUAUAGAUUUCAGGAUUUUUUUUCUUUUUUUUUUAAAUAUUGGAUUUAGAUGCCAUUUGUUUUGUUUUCCUUAUUUAGAGUAGAAGAAUUUUAUUAUAAAAUAUUAUUUUUAAUUUGCAUGUUUUAGUAAAUUCAUGAUAUUUAGAACUCGUAUAUCAUUUAUGCAUCGAUACUACUUCUUCUCUAUUAAUUCCUCGCUCCAUUAGGUUUUAUAAUUUACAAUUUUGACGCUGCUUCUUCUCUAUUUAAUUUCCUUGUCGAUUAACUAAGCAUGUUAUUUGGUGACAAAUUCAUCUCUUUUCCCUUUAAGGUGGUGUUUGGUUGGAAGAAGAGAAUGGAGGAGAGGAAAAUAAUUUAAAUUAUCUUUUUAUUUCCAUUGUUUGGUUUGACAAAAUAUAUAAGAAUUUAAUUUCCAUUAAAAUUUAAUAUCCAUCAUAAUUUAGAAUUUGAAGUCCACACCUAAUAAUGAAGAAUUUAAAUUCCUCUUAUGUUAGAAAUUAAAGUUUUCAAAAUUACCCUUCAACUUUUAAACUUGUUUAAUGCCAUUAAUAAUUAUUAUUUAUAAUUUUAUUUUAUUGAUUUAAUAUUAUAAAUGGACCUUCACCGAAAAGUCACCGGACCACCGCCGGACGUCAUUGGAAAGUCGCCGGAUGUAGCCAAACUUUCACCGGAAAGUCGGUGGACCUCCACCAGACCUCGCCGGAAAGACACCAGACCUUCGCCACCGGCCACCGGACAACCAUUUUAUUAUAUAUAUAUAUAUAUAUUAUUAUUACUAAUUUAAAUAGUUUAAUUUUUAAAGUAAAAGAUAAAUUUGUCUUAAAAAAAAUUAUAAUUCAUUUUGAUCCUUAUCAAAUUUUAUAUCAAAUCAAACAAUAAAAUCUAAUUUCACUACUCUUCUCCGUUCCUUUCUUUUCUCUUCCUCUCCAUUCCACUCUUUUCCUCUCCUCAUUUUUUUUCAAACCAAACAUGGCCUAAGUUUUUUUAAAAUAAUUUGAACAUGUGCAUGUAUAGUCUUUCUCCCAGUUAUAAAACAUCCAAAUUAAUUCAAAUUAUUAAGUCGUAGGUUUGGUGGUUUGACUUGAAGAUGACCACGUGGUAAUCUAAUUAAGACUAUUGCCUAAAUUACAACUUGAAUAAAAUAAAAUUAUCUUAUUUAAAUUAGACCAUAUAUUCAUUAGUUUUCCUUUUUCCUAAUUUAAUUCUUAUUCAAGUUGUAAUUUUAUUUUAGGCAAGAGUCUUAAAUUUAAGUUAUUAAAAUAUAGUUUUUUUGUAAGAUUGAGUGUUGAGUUUCUAUUUAUUCGGUGUUCUCUAUAAUCAAUUAAUCUUAACAUAGUAGAUUUAUUCUUAAAAUCAACGUGAAUUCUAAUUUAGAACCACGCAACAGUAAGCAGAUUAACCGAAUAUGACUCAAGACACCAAAGCCUUGGCCAUAGAACUUUCGCGUGAAAAAAAACCGAUGAUCAAUUCAAUAUGAGUUUGUUAGGAUAAAUAGAUCUAUAAAUAAACACUUUGGGGCUACGAUAGAAUUUGCGUGAACAACAUGAAGUUCAAAGAGAAGCUGAAGUUUUUCGUUUGGACUCAUUGCUAGGAUUAGAUGAUUUCAGAUAUUUGGUGGGUCAAAUCGAUUCCUCAUUAUUCACUAAUAAGGGCCAUGUAAUUGUAUGUCAAUUUUAUGAUUCAACAUUUCAACGUAUAUCAAAUUAGUUUUUGGUGUUUCAGUUAGUUUUCCAGUACCAUUUUUAAAAGAUUUUACAGGGACAAAUGUUAGGAAAUUGAGCUUCCUCCCAAGAUCACUCCAAGCAAUUUAUCAAGCAACAAAUUAAUAGAAAAAAAUUUAAUGGAGAAUACACCAAUCACAUAACACAAGAUUUACGUGGAAAACUCCAAAUCCGGAGAAAAACCACGGCCGUUGUCACAAGACAACCAGAGAUAAAUAUUCACUGUGUGGAAAAUUAUUACAACUACUCUCAGAAAUAAUUUUCUCUCACCCAAGCCCCAAAUACAUAAUCCCAAUAAAUAUUCCUUAACAAAGCAAACUCAUAAUACUCAUAUUGAGGAGCCAAAUGCUCCUUCAAUAUAACUACAUGCUUAAGAAUAUUUUUAUCUCUCAAUUCUCACCAAAAUUUUGAUCGCUUCUCUGGGAUUUGGAUACAAAAAUAAGGAUGAGCACUCCUCUAUUUAUAGCCAAAUUAUGACUUCAUUUUCUUCCUUUUUUCCCUGCUGUACCGUACAUCCGCCUUGGCCGUACAGCAGUCCGAGAGAACUUGAUGAAAUUUUCCAUUUUUUAAGAGAGAAAAAGGUAGCUUUGUUUUGAGUUCGCAGAAGAGCCACAGUGUCACUUUCCACUAAGUCCCCUAAUUUGAUGGGACUGUUAGUGAUCCCAAAACCCAAUUAAAAUCCAACUUCCUUGAGAACGAAGAUGUUAACUCAUAAUGUCAUCAUUUAGUCAACAGACUACACACUUGUCAAGCCUAAGCCAAUCAAAUGCAUAUUUCAUACACUUUCAUGUCGCCAUUUAACACUUUCUUGAUCACAUUGACCAAAUAUUCUCAUCAAUAAAUACACACUCAAAAUCAUAAAAGAUAAUACUACUCAACAAUAUUGAAUAAUGCAACUCAGUAAUUGCAGCCAUGGCCAGAAAAACAAUGUUCCUCUUUAUUUUCUUUUGUUUUCUUUUGAUUCUCCUCCCCCUCUCAGCUUCUGCAGAAUGCAAGUGUGAUCUCACUGAAACCAUCGGCGGCAGUGGCCACAAAAACAAAGCUUUGAAAUUGAAAAUCGUUGCGAUUCUAUCAAUCCUGAUUGCGGGUGCUUUCGGUGUUUCAAUUCCAAGCUUUGGAAAAAACAUCUCAACUUUUCAUCCUGAGAACAAUAUUUUCUUCAUAAUCAAAGCCUUCGCCGCCGGCGUGAUUCUUGCCACAGGCUUUGUCCACAUACUGCCUGAUGCGUAUGAGAGUCUAACAAGUCCAUGCUUAAGCCCAAAACCAUGGCAGGAUUUCCCUUUCACCGGGUUUGUGGCAAUGGUUUCCGCGAUUUUGACUAUGAUGGUUGAUGCAUUUGCCACAUCUUUUUAUCAACGUUUGCAUUUUAGUAAGGCUUUGCCUGUUAAUGAUGAUGACAAGGAGAUGCAUGCAGAGCAUGAAGGUCAUGUUCAUGUACAUACACAUGCCACGCACGGCCAUGCUCAUGGCUCUGCUUUUGCAUCGUCGGAUGCUUCUGGUUCUGGGACUUCUGAUCUUUUCCGACACCGAAUUGUAUCACAGGUAUCAAUUGAUGUGAGUUGAUAGUUUACUUUCCCCUUUGUUUUCUAUUACACCAUUCUGAUGGUGAGAAAAAAAAAACAAAUAAAUCCUCAAAUAUUUUAUUUUAAUUAAACUAUCUAAUUCUUUUCCAAAAAAAAAAACUAAACUAUCUAAUCGAAGAAGCAAUUUCCAGAGAUGACAAAACUUGUAACAAGUACUUCUGAUAAUUUAUCGCGCCGCUUGUGUUUGCGCAUGUUCCAGAAGUUGACUGACUAACUUGUAAGUACGUCCUGAAAGUCCUUUGGUGUGGUCAAUCAAUUGCACGUACACGUUGGGCUAGGUGGGUUCCAUGAUAACAGUUCCUGACUUUGCAUCAAUCUUGGCAUCAGGUUUUGAGUUGCGAAUAAGAUUCAGAAAGUCAGUUUUGCAGAAAGCAUUAUCUGUGAAGUCAGUUUUGCAGAAAGCAUUAUCUGUGAAGUCAGUUUUGCAGAAAGCAUUAUCUGUGAAGUCAGUUUUGCAGAAAGCAUUAUCUGUGAAGUCAGUUUUGCAGAAAGCAUUAUCUGUGAAGUCAGUUUUGCAGAAAGCAUUAUCUGUGAAGUCAGUUUUGCAGAAAGCAUUAUCUGUGAAGUCAGUUUUGCAGAAAGCAUUAUCUGUGAAGUCAGUUUUGCAGAAAGCAUUAUCUGUGAAGUCAGUUUUGCAGAAAGCAUUAUCUGUGAAGUCAGUUUUGCAGAAAGCAUUAUCUGUGAAGUCAGUUUUGCAGAAAGCAUUAUCUGUGAAGUCAGUUUUGCAGAAAGCAUUAUCUGUGACACUACUGAUAUGCUUUCUGAUACAAAGAUGGGUCGAUGUUUUCUGGUACUGAUAUGACAUUAGUUGGAAAAUGGAACUGUGUUUACUGUUUGUAUCAUGUGGGUAGUGCAAAAAAUAGGAUAAAGGCAUUUACAGUGUGGGGCUAUCUUGCCUUUAUCUUCAUUUGAAUUAUAUUUCAUUUGAAUUAUAUUUAAAGCAUAUAUGGUGAAGAUACUACACUAUAUCUAUCUGUUCGUUGAAAAGUUUGUUCACUAUUGCGAAGCCUUCAAUUCUCCUCCACGUAACAAAAUUGAAUGUUUUAUAGGUAUUAGAGUUGGGGAUAGUUGUGCAUUCGGUGAUCAUUGGGAUUUCACUGGGUGCUUCCGGAAGUGUAAAGACAAUCAAGCCCCUCGUAGCAGCACUAACUUUUCACCAGUUCUUUGAAGGCAUGGGCCUUGGUGGAUGCAUCUCUCAGGUACUCUCUACUCGUUAGUCACAAAUUUUAAAAUGUAAAAGCCAAGAACACAAAAUAUAAAGAGCAUUGAUGGUGUUGAUUUGUUUGUGGAAGCAGGCAAAGUUCAAGUCAAAAGCCGUAGCGGCAAUGAUACUUUUCUUUUCCCUGACCACUCCCGUCGGGAUUGGAAUUGGGAUUGGGAUAUCAAAAGUUUACAAAGAGAAUAGCCCAACAGCUCUUGUUAUUGAAGGCAUUUUCAACUCUGCUUCAGCUGGAAUCUUGAUCUAUAUGGCGCUUGUGGAUCUUCUUGCAACGGAUUUUAUGAGUCCUAAGUUGCAAACCAAUUUCAAGUUGCAGCUUGGAGCUAAUUUUUCUCUUCUUUUAGGCUCAGGUUGCAUGUCUCUCUUGGCUAAAUGGGCCUAAAAUUCACAGCCAUGCUUUCGCCUUCCUGUUUUUACGAAAUGCAAACUUGUUCAUGACUUAUUGCAACUUAAAGCGUAAUUGCCUUCAUGUAAAAUAUAAUAUUAAGGGUUAAUUAUCUGUGGGUAACACUUGUUUUGAUAUAUUAUAAAAGGAUUAUACAUAUUUUAAAAAUACUCGAUUAGGUGAUAAUCCGUUAAGUGUUACUAUUAAUUCUAAUGGAAGUGGUAAAUCAGUUAGGAAAUGACGUGUUUGUUUCUACUCAUUGAUUUUUAAUUUUUUUCAAUAGAAAAAUAUAUAAAAUUAAAUGUAAAUCUUAAGUUGAAUUCAUUAACAAGACUUUUUUUAAAAGAUAAAUCAAUUUUUUUGAAAAAAAAUUAUUGUUGAAUCAAACUCAUUUUUAACAUAAUAAAAGGCAAUCUCUCAUGAAUCAAGAUAAAUCUAUGUUGCGUUUACUAAACUGAAAUAAAAAUGAGUUAGAAUCGGAAUGGAUAGGAAUGUGAAUGGGCUGAAAUGAGAAUAGGGAAUGGGAAUCAUAAUAAGUUAUUUGCUUGAAGUGUAGAAAUCGAAAUCGGAAUGAGCUGAAUUGUCAUAAAUGUGUUUACUUUGUCUUGGAAUCGGAAUCGGAAUCGGAAUGAGUUAGAUUGUAACAAUUUAUUAAAAAGCACUUAAUGAAUUAUUUAUUAUCUUUUAUGAUUUUGAGUGUGUAUUUAUUGAUGAGAAUAUUUGGUCAAUGUGAUCAAGAAAGUGUUAAAUGGCGACAUGAAAGUGUAUGAAAUAUGCAUUUGAUUGGCUUAGGCUUGACAAGUGUGUAGUCUGUUGACUAAAUGAUGACAUUAUGAGUUAACAUCUUCGUUCUCAAGGAAGUUGGAUUUUAAUUGGGUUUUGGGAUCACUAACAGUCCCAUCAAAUUAGGGGACUUAGUGGAAAGUGACACUGUGGCUCUUCUGCGAACUCAAAACAAAGCUACCUUUUUCUCUCUUAAAAAAUGGAAAAUUUCAUCAAGUUCUCUCGGACGUUUGAUUGUACUAUUAUUCUAUUACACAAUAGAUUAUUUUAAAUAUGUACAAUUAAUUAUUACUAUUGUUUAUGAUAUCAUCAUUAGGGCACGAUGUGAGAUGCGAGAUUGUGAUGCUUGUUGUACAAACACCUCAUGAUGAGAACACAAUUCUGAUCGCCCAAGAACUACCCUUGGACCCCUAACGAGCCCAGAUAAACCAAGCCAGCUCAUUUUGACUGUAUUAUCCAUUUAUUCUUCAUUAUUUAAGCUAAAAGGAAGGGGCUUGUAGUGGUAGCACGUGUAGGAGUGAAUUUCUGAAAAUUUGAAUGGAAACAAUUAUAGAAAAGUUAAUUUUAUUUACCUCAUCAAUGAAAAAAUAAAUCAAUGUUUUUAGUACAAAUAAUUCUUUCGCCUCUCUCGAACAUAUGACAACAAUUCAUUAAACAGUGUAUAUAACACAUAUGGAGUAUCGAACACGUUCUCCCGUUUAAUAAUUGAAGUUGAGAUGAAUGGGAAAUGAAACCCCUCCAUUGCCAACAAAAAUAGUAUGCUCCCCAGCCGGCAGAAGGGUAUUUGCAGCAUAAUCCACGAUAUUUAAGCUCUUGCAAGCAUUAAACACAAAUUUAAUCCUCUUAUUCCGUCCGGCCCUCACAAAAACCCUUUGGAAACCGAUGACUUGCUUGAUAUAAGUUGCAGCUAUUUCUGCAGGGGGCUUGGAGUACACAAUGACAACAUCACUGCCAUCUGUGCUGCCAACAUUUUGAAAGUCAACUUUGAACUCAAAAUAAUCAUCGCAUCUCAGGUCAUUGACCAGAACACCAGGACACCGGGUCUUGGAGGCAUCACUCGUAUAGUUUAGAUUGCGACAAUGUUGAAGUUUGUUCAAAUUUACUUGAAUUGUCUUCGUAAAGGAAAGUAGAUUGUAUUUGAAUUGCGUAUAGCUGAGGCCGUAUCCGAAUGGAUACAGUGUUGGGCCGUUGUAGAAUUUAUAUGUUCUUCCCGGAUAACCUAAGCUAUCAACAGGCCUCAAUGGCAUGGAAGUCAAUGGUAGCAUCUGGACGUAAUCACCAUUAUACCAGGUUAUGGGCAAUCUUCCACCUGAAAGCAAUAUCAUCAUUUCUUUGUUAUACCGAAAGCAUACAUACAAAUUAAAAUCGAAUUAAUCCAUAUUCCCCUGUAAAUAUAUACUUACCAGGAUUGAAUUUACCGAAGACAACAUCAGCAAUGGCACGGCCACCUUCCUCUCCAGGAUAGCCAGCCCAUAAAAUAGCUUUGAUGUUAGUGUUAGUCUCAGCAAAGGCGAUAUCGACGCCACCGGCAGACAUGAUUACGAGAAUGACCGGACCUUUGGCAACUUCAGCAACCUGGUUGAUAAGCUGAGUUUGGUAUCCAGGAAGCCAGAGAUCUUCCCUGUCCAAGCUCUCUGCCUCAACUGACAAAUCCAAGCCUGCCAAAAUUAUUGUGGCAUCCGCGGUCUUUGCGGCUUCUGACGCAGCAAAUAUGGAGUUAUUGCUCUUGCAGGCAACGUCAUCACAUCCCGUCUUGUAGGUCACGUUUGCAUACCCAGAGAAGCCAGCAAUUGGAGACAUGUAUCGACACGGAAUACCUACAACAAAUUAACAUGUCGUAUAUAAUUAGUUUUUGAAAACUAAAGAGUAACGAGCAAAUGUAUCUCCUUUAUUUAGAUUGCGGUUUGGUGGUAUUCAACGAAUGUACCUGCGUAAUUUCCAAUCAUGGCUACAGUAGCAUUGGCGUGUGGCCCCACAACUGCGACUGUUUUGACCUUGGCAGAGUUCAAAGGCAGAGUGUUCUGAUCAUUCUUUAAAAGAACAAUUCCUUCUCUGGCUGCUUCUGCGGCUAACUCUAUAUUUUCAUCCGAGCAAAUAUCUUGUUUGCCAAGAGAUACAUACUGAGGGCUUCCAUCGAAGAAUCCUAGCCUCAUUAGAACGGUGUAAAGGUACUUGAGAGAUUUAUCUAUAUCUGUUUCCUUCACCUUCCCUUGUUGCACUGCAUUUCCAGUGAAGUUUGUGUAGUAUUGUCCACAGUCCAAAUCCAAUCCUAAGACAAAAUAAAACCGUGCAUAAACUCCAUUCAUUAAUUAUAAAACCAAAGCAGCAGCAAUAUGUUUCGGAAAUCUAAAAACUAACCAGCUUUUAGUGUUUGGGCAACAGCAUCUUCUUUCGAAUCAGCUAGAAAUUUGUGGUUAUCAACCAUAACUUGGAUUGAAUCACAGUCUGCCACUAUGUAUCUGAAAAAAAAAAAAAAAGAGUUCAAUAGUUAUAAAAUAAUAGUUAGCAACUAUAAUUUAUUUUCGGUUAAAAAGUUAUUCAUUAUUGAAUUAUAUUAUAAAAGAAUAUUAAUUGUACCCGUGAAGAUCCCAUUCUCCCCUAACAGUUUGAUUUAAGAGCUUUGGGUCAGCACAGGAAGGUAUGCCAUUGACACGGUUAUAAGAGCACAUAACACUGCUAGCGUCGCCUUCUUUGACACACAUUUCAAAUGGUCUAAGGAAAGUUUCCUCCAUAUCUUGCUCGGUCACCUUAAUUUAAAAUCCAAGAAAUUGUUAGAAAUUUAAUUUGAGUUGUAUCUCACACUCCGUAGCUUAGUUAAUUUUUCGUCAUUAGAUUUGGAGGUACUAACCCUUGCAUCAAAAUGAUAACGAUCAACUCCCUUCCAAUUAUCAACAUCAUAGGCAGCAUAAUGCUUGCAGCACGAUGAAACUUUUAAAGGUCUAGAGUUCAAAUCCGUAGCAUUUUCAUGUCCCUCGACGUCUUGUAAGCCCCUAACAUAGUUGACUGCAUAUCUUCCAACAACAAAAGGAUCUUCGCCGGGCGUCUCAGUGAUUCUUCCCCACCUUGGAUCCCUCGCUACAUUAAUGUUUGGACUCCAAUAUGUUAAUCCAGCUCGCCCUAGAUUGUACAUCGCUCGUGCUUCUGUUGAAACGGCCUACAACAAUAAAGAGUGAGUUUUUAGUUUAAUGAAUGCUUUCUUAACGAGGAUUUUCGUACUUUAUUAAGAUCUGAAAAAGACUUUUACACACUUUAAUGAAGUGCAAGAACCACUUAUUAAAAUGUUUCGAUUAAUUUAAUUAUCCACGACAUGCUAACAAAAAUAAAUAAAAUGGCGCGUGAGAUCAAAUACCUGGCCUAUCUUUUUCCACAAUGACUCAUUGAAUGAAGCUGUUGUGAGGAUAACAGUGGGAAAACUUGUUGCUCCAGGAAUUACAUCAUCGAAAUGAGUGCCAGGACCGACAUUAGACACUCCAUGCAGUGCUUCGGACCACCACUCGUACUGCGGAAGCCCCAACCUUGGGACGCCGUGAGCAAAAUCUCCGAGUUGCUGCACUUUUUCGUCAAGGGUCAUUCGGCUCACCAAGUCCUUCACUCUUAUGGAGUAGGGUAAAGAUGAGUCACAGAAGAGAAAGCUUGACAUUUGCAGUCCAAGUUUAGAGAACCGACCGGGGUCACAAACGAAGACAGGGCUACUGCUGCCAUUCGCAUCAACAGCGUUUGUAGAGAAGACAAGUAAAGCAAUGGAGAGACUGAAGCAUAGGAGAGAACUAACUACUUUGGCCAUCGUUCUUAUUCUUAGUCUUUGAGAAAGAAGCUUGUAGCUAUGAAGCAGUUUAUGAAGCUGCCUAUCUUUUUAUAAGCAAUUAAUUAUGCGCUUUUGAGUUCAUCUCAAAGGUUAUUAUCUUUGACUAGCUAGAUUGCUGUUAUAAAAUUACAGUUUCACGGUUUGUAAAGAUAAUGUGAACCACUAAAUCUCUAUUUAGUUUAUGACAACAAACUUAUUGCUAAAUUUUUUUCUAAUGCUUGAUUAAUCAUGGGUGACAACUAAAGCUUGCUGUGCUCGAUAUGGAUGAAUGCAAGGAGGUUUUAAGAACAAUAUAAACGAUUUGUUGUUUCAAGUUUCAACCCAUUUGAUUGUUUUUUAUCCAAUUCUCACAAACUGUCGCUAAUUAAUGGCGAUUGAUUUAGCCAAUUAGCCAAACAAUAAUAAAUUUAUAGUUAUGUUAUCUCGUUCAAAUUUAUUCUAGACCGGUUUAUUAUUUUUAGUUGGACAUUGUGAGUACAUUUAUGUAAAAUUCGUUAAUGAUUACUGAAGAUAUUUGGGAAAGAUGGGGAUCCUUUGACUGGUUAAAAUUUAUUGGAACCUAAAUAUUCAUUUAUUCAUUGAUUCCAUACAAUCCAUUUAGAAAAAAGAUUUUACAAAACGAUAUUAUCUUAAUUAGGUUACAGAAUUUGAUAAAACAUAUGAAAUAUUCAAUAUCCAAGUAGUUAUGAAAAAUUUUGUCACCUAUUUUUUUAUAUAUGAAAGUAAAAUUGUUGAAAGAAAAUACCGUUUUAAGUUGUUAAUUCAUCUAUUGUACUGAUGGUUCAUUAUUAAUUGUGUCACCAUCUAAAUAAAAAUAUAAGAUAUUUACCUCAUUUAGAAGAAUUAAAAACAUUCCAAAAUACUGAAUGCUAGAAUCGAAAUCUCUUUAGAGCUGCAACUAAAAUUUAUGUUUAUUGUAGUAAGGCAAAAUUCCUUGUGCCUGCUCUAGUUUAUGUUGAAUUGUUGAAAACGACACACACCACCAACUAAUUAAUUAUCUCAAUACAACCUAUUAGGAUUUGCUUAUGUAAGCUUAUUAUCAACUUUGAACUUGUAAUAGAGCUACUAAUUGGAAUUUGGAAUCAAACCUCGUCGAUUCAUGAAAUAGUUUUAAUCUUUCGAAUUAACUAAUUAAUAUUAACUUCUUCUUUUUUUAUAAUUAAUUUAUGAAAUGGAGUCUUAGACUUAUCUUUUUCAUAAGAAAAAAGGGAAAGAAACUAGAUAUAUUAAUUUGUUCAAAGGAUUACAACCAAAUUGAUCGGCUGAAACGGAAUCCACAUUAAUCCACGACCUAAUUUUCCUGAUUUUCAUAUUCAAAUUAACUAACUAAAACAAAAUUGUUUGGCUAAGGGUGCGUUUGGGAUUGAGGUUGGGCAGCUGUAGCUUAAAAGCUAAAGCACUAAAGUGUUUGGUAAACACUAGCUGCUGUAGCUUUUAAGCUAUGUUGAUAUGAUUUUUCACUUGUAUAAUACAAAAUUUAUUAUAUCUUUAAUAAUUUUAUCAAAAUUAUUAUUUAAAAUUUAUAUUUACUAUAUAUUAUUAACUUUUGUUUCAUAAUUACAGCUUUUUUUUCACAGCAGCUGUAGCUUAAAAGCUACAGCACCUCAAUCCCAAAUGCACCCUAAAUCAAUCGGCAUUAAUUUGCGACAUUUUAGGAGAUUUGGAUAAAAGAAACCAUCAAAUGGGUUGAAACUUGAAACGACAAAUCGUUUAUUGUUCGUAAACUUUCCAUGCAUUCAUCCGCACUUGAGCACAGCGAAGUAGAGUUGUCAUGCGUUACUGUAAUCAAGUAUUCGACAAAAUUUAACAAAUAUGUUUGCUGUUAUAAACUAAAAGGAAAGUGAGUGGUUCACAUUCUCUUCUACAAUAGUAACUUCAUAACAGUAAUCUAGCUAGUCAGAGAUAAUAGCCAAUCACAUCAGCCAAAGGGUGCAAAAAUCACUUAUAAAAGCACACAGCUGCCUCAUAAUUUUUCCAUAGCUAAAAUCUAUAGCUUCCUUCUCAAAGAAUAAGUAGAGGAUAUGAUGGCCAAAGUAGUUAGUUCUCUCCUAUGCUUCAGUCUCUAAAAAAAAAAAAAGAGUUCAAUAGUUAUAAAAUAAUAGUUAGCAACUAUAAUUUAUUUUCGGUUAAAAAGUUAUUCAUUAUUGAAUUAUAUUAUAAAAGAAUAUUAAUUGUACCCGUGAAGAUCCCAUUCUCCCCUAACAGUUUGAUUUAAGAGCUUUGGGUCAGCACAGGAAGGUAUGCCAUUGACACGGUUAUAAGAGCACAUAACACUGCUAGCGUCGCCUUCUUUGACACACAUUUCAAAUGGUCUAAGGAAAGUUUCCUCCAUAUCUUGCUCGGUCACCUUAAUUUAAAAUCCAAGAAAUUGUUAGAAAUUUAAUUUGAGUUGUAUCUCACACUCCGUAGCUUAGUUAAUUUUUCGUCAUUAGAUUUGGAGGUACUAACCCUUGCAUCAAAAUGAUAACGAUCAACUCCCUUCCAAUUAUCAACAUCAUAGGCAGCAUAAUGCUUGCAGCACGAUGAAACUUUUAAAGGUCUAGAGUUCAAAUCCGUAGCAUUUUCAUGUCCCUCGACGUCUUGUAAGCCCCUAACAUAGUUGACUGCAUAUCUUCCAACAACAAAAGGAUCUUCGCCGGGCGUCUCAGUGAUUCUUCCCCACCUUGGAUCCCUCGCUACAUUAAUGUUUGGACUCCAAUAUGUUAAUCCAGCUCGCCCUAGAUUGUACAUCGCUCGUGCUUCUGUUGAAACGGCCUACAACAAUAAAGAGUGAGUUUUUAGUUUAAUGAAUGCUUUCUUAACGAGGAUUUUCGUACUUUAUUAAGAUCUGAAAAAGACUUUUACACACUUUAAUGAAGUGCAAGAACCACUUAUUAAAAUGUUUCGAUUAAUUUAAUUAUCCACGACAUGCUAACAAAAAUAAAUAAAAUGGCGCGUGAGAUCAAAUACCUGGCCUAUCUUUUUCCACAAUGACUCAUUGAAUGAAGCUGUUGUGAGGAUAACAGUGGGAAAACUUGUUGCUCCAGGAAUUACAUCAUCGAAAUGAGUGCCAGGACCGACAUUAGACACUCCAUGCAGUGCUUCGGACCACCACUCGUACUGCGGAAGCCCCAACCUUGGGACGCCGUGAGCAAAAUCUCCGAGUUGCUGCACUUUUUCGUCAAGGGUCAUUCGGCUCACCAAGUCCUUCACUCUUAUGGAGUAGGGUAAAGAUGAGUCACAGAAGAGAAAGCUUGACAUUUGCAGUCCAAGUUUAGAGAACCGACCGGGGUCACAAACGAAGACAGGGCUACUGCUGCCAUUCGCAUCAACAGCGUUUGUAGAGAAGACAAGUAAAGCAAUGGAGAGACUGAAGCAUAGGAGAGAACUAACUACUUUGGCCAUCAUAUCCUCUACUUAUUCUUUGAGAAGGAAGCUAUAGAUUUUAGCUAUGGAAAAAUUAUGAGGCAGCUGUGUGCUUUUAUAAGUGAUUUUUGCACCCUUUGGCUGAUGUGAUUGGCUAUUAUCUCUGACUAGCUAGAUUACUGUUAUGAAGUUACUAUUGUAGAAGAGAAUGUGAACCACUCACUUUCCUUUUAGUUUAUAACAGCAAACAUAUUUGUUAAAUUUUGUCGAAUACUUGAUUACAGUAACGCAUGACAACUCUACUUCGCUGUGCUCAAGUGCGGAUGAAUGCAUGGAAAGUUUACGAACAAUAAACGAUUUGUCGUUUCAAGUUUCAACCCAUUUGAUGGUUUCUUUUAUCCAAAUCUCCUAAAAUGUCGCAAAUUAAUGCCGAUUGAUUUAGGGUGCAUUUGGGAUUGAGGUGCUGUAGCUUUUAAGCUACAGCUGCUGUGAAAAAAAAGCUGUAAUUAUGAAACAAAAGUUAAUAAUAUAUAGUAAAUAUAAAUUUUAAAUAAUAAUUUUGAUAAAAUUAUUAAAGAUAUAAUAAAUUUUGUAUUAUACAAGUGAAAAAUCAUAUCAACAUAGCUUAAAAGCUACAGCAGCUAGUGUUUACCAAACACUUUAGUGCUUUAGCUUUUAAGCUACAGCUGCCCAACCUCAAUCCCAAACGCACCCUUAGCCAAACAAUUUUGUUUUAGUUAGUUAAUUUGAAUAUGAAAAUCAGGAAAAUUAGGUCGUGGAUUAAUGUGGAUUCCGUUUCAGCCGAUCAAUUUGGUUGUAAUCCUUUGAACAAAUUAAUAUAUCUAGUUUCUUUCCCUUUUUUCUUAUGAAAAAGAUAAGUCUAAGACUCCAUUUCAUAAAUUAAUUAUAAAAAAAGAAGAAGUUAAUAUUAAUUAGUUAAUUCGAAAGAUUAAAACUAUUUCAUGAAUCGACGAGGUUUGAUUCCAAAUUCCAAUUAGUAGCUCUAUUACAAGUUCAAAGUUGAUAAUAAGCUUACAUAAGCAAAUCCUAAUAGGUUGUAUUGAGAUAAUUAAUUAGUUGGUGGUGUGUGUCGUUUUCAACAAUUCAACAUAAACUAGAGCAGGCACAAGGAAUUUUGCCUUACUACAAUAAACAUAAAUUUUAGUUGCAGCUCUAAAGAGAUUUCGAUUCUAGCAUUCAGUAUUUUGGAAUGUUUUUAAUUCUUCUAAAUGAGGUAAAUAUCUUAUAUUUUUAUUUAGAUGGUGACACAAUUAAUAAUGAACCAUCAGUACAAUAGAUGAAUUAACAACUUAAAACGGUAUUUUCUUUCAACAAUUUUACUUUCAUAUAUAAAAAAAUAGGUGACAAAAUUUUUCAUAACUACUUGGAUAUUGAAUAUUUCAUAUGUUUUAUCAAAUUCUGUAACCUAAUUAAGAUAAUAUCGUUUUGUAAAAUCUUUUUUCUAAAUGGAUUGUAUGGAAUCAAUGAAUAAAUGAAUAUUUAGGUUCCAAUAAAUUUUAACCAGUCAAAGGAUCCCCAUCUUUCCCAAAUAUCUUCAGUAAUCAUUAACGAAUUUUACAUAAAUGUACUCACAAUGUCCAACUAAAAAUAAUAAACCGGUCUAGAAUAAAUUUGAACGAGAUAACAUAACUAUAAAUUUAUUAUUGUUUGGCUAAUUGGCUAAAUCAAUCGCCAUUAAUUAGCGACAGUUUGUGAGAAUUGGAUAAAAAACAAUCAAAUGGGUUGAAACUUGAAACAACAAAUCGUUUAUAUUGUUCUUAAAACCUCCUUGCAUUCAUCCAUAUCGAGCACAGCAAGCUUUAGUUGUCACCCAUGAUUAAUCAAGCAUUAGAAAAAAAUUUAGCAAUAAGUUUGUUGUCAUAAACUAAAUAGAGAUUUAGUGGUUCACAUUAUCUUUACAAACCGUGAAACUGUAAUUUUAUAACAGCAAUCUAGCUAGUCAAAGAUAAUAACCUUUGAGAUGAACUCAAAAGCGCAUAAUUAAUUGCUUAUAAAAAGAUAGGCAGCUUCAUAAACUGCUUCAUAGCUACAAGCUUCUUUCUCAAAGACUAAGAAUAAGAACGAUGGCCAAAGUAGUUAGUUCUCUCCUAUGCUUCAGUCUCUCCAUUGCUUUACUUGUCUUCUCUACAAACGCUGUUGAUGCGAAUGGCAGCAGUAGCCCUGUCUUCGUUUGUGACCCCGGUCGGUUCUCUAAACUUGGACUGCAAAUGUCAAGCUUUCUCUUCUGUGACUCAUCUUUACCCUACUCCAUAAGAGUGAAGGACUUGGUGAGCCGAAUGACCCUUGACGAAAAAGUGCAGCAACUCGGAGAUUUUGCUCACGGCGUCCCAAGGUUGGGGCUUCCGCAGUACGAGUGGUGGUCCGAAGCACUGCAUGGAGUGUCUAAUGUCGGUCCUGGCACUCAUUUCGAUGAUGUAAUUCCUGGAGCAACAAGUUUUCCCACUGUUAUCCUCACAACAGCUUCAUUCAAUGAGUCAUUGUGGAAAAAGAUAGGCCAGGUAUUUGAUCUCACGCGCCAUUUUAUUUAUUUUUGUUAGCAUGUCGUGGAUAAUUAAAUUAAUCGAAACAUUUUAAUAAGUGGUUCUUGCACUUCAUUAAAGUGUGUAAAAGUCUUUUUCAGAUCUUAAUAAAGUACGAAAAUCCUCGUUAAGAAAGCAUUCAUUAAACUAAAAACUCACUCUUUAUUGUUGUAGGCCGUUUCAACAGAAGCACGAGCGAUGUACAAUCUAGGGCGAGCUGGAUUAACAUAUUGGAGUCCAAACAUUAAUGUAGCGAGGGAUCCAAGGUGGGGAAGAAUCACUGAGACGCCCGGCGAAGAUCCUUUUGUUGUUGGAAGAUAUGCAGUCAACUAUGUUAGGCUGCUGUACGGCCAAGGCGGAUGUACGGUACAGCAGGCUGUAGCUUUUAAGCUACAGCUGCUGUGAAAAAAAAAUUAUAAUUAUAAAACAAAAGUUAAUAAUAUAUAAUAAAUAUAAAUUUUAAAUAAUAAUUUUAAUAAAAUUAUUAAAGAUAUAAUAAAUUUUAUAUUAUACAAGUGAAAAAUCAUAUCAACAUAGUUUAAAAGCUACAGCAGCUAGUGUUUACCAAACACUUUAGUGCUGUAGCUUUUAAGCUACAGCUGCCCAACCUCAAUCCCAAACGCACCCUUAGCCAAACAAUUUUGUUUUAGUUAGUUAAUUUGAAUAUGAAAAUCAGGAAAAUUAGGUCGUGGAUUAAUGUGGAUUCCGUUUCAGCCGAUCAAUUUGGUUGUAAUCCUUUGAACAAAUUAAUAUAUCUAGUUUCUUUCCCUUUUUUCUUAUGAAAAAGAUAAGUCUAAGACUCCAUUUCAUAAAUUAAUUAUAAAAAAAGAAGAAGUUAAUAUUAAUUAGUUAAUUCGAAAGAUUAAAACUAUUUCAUGAAUCGACGAGGUUUGAUUCCAAAUUCCAAUUAGUAGCUCUAUUACAAGUUCAAAGUUGAUAAUAAGCUUACAUAAGCAAAUCCUAAUAGGUUGUAUUGAGAUAAUUAAUUAGUUGGUGGUGUGUGUCGUUUUCAACAAUUCAACAUAAACUAGAGCAGGCACAAGGAAUUUUGCCUUACUACAAUAAACAUAAAUUUUAGUUGCAGCUCUAAAGAGAUUUCGAUUCUAGCAUUCAGUAUUUUGGAAUGUUUUUAAUUCUUCUAAAUGAGGUAAAUAUCUUAUAUUUUUAUUUAGAUGGUGACACAAUUAAUAAUGAACCAUCAGUACAAUAGAUGAAUUAACAACUUAAAACGGUAUUUUCUUUCAACAAUUUUACUUUCAUAUAUAAAAAAAUAGGUGACAAAAUUUUUCAUAACUACUUGGAUAUUGAAUAUUUCAUAUGUUUUAUCAAAUUCUGUAACCUAAUUAAGAUAAUAUCGUUUUGUAAAAUCUUUUUUCUAAAUGGAUUGUAUGGAAUCAAUGAAUAAAUGAAUAUUUAGGUUCCAAUAAAUUUUAACCAGUCAAAGGAUCCCCAUCUUUCCCAAAUAUCUUCAGUAAUCAUUAACGAAUUUUACAUAAAUGUACUCACAAUGUCCAACUAAAAAUAAUAAACCGGUCUAGAAUAAAUUUGAACGAGAUAACAUAACUAUAAAUUUAUUAUUGUUUGGCUAAUUGGCUAAAUCAAUCGCCAUUAAUUAGCGACAGUUUGUGAGAAUUGGAUAAAAAACAAUCAAAUGGGUUGAAACUUGAAACAACAAAUCGUUUAUAUUGUUCUUAAAACCUCCUUGCAUUCAUCCAUAUCGAGCACAGCAAGCUUUAGUUGUCACCCAUGAUUAAUCAAGCAUUAGAAAAAAAUUUAGCAAUAAGUUUGUUGUCAUAAACUAAAUAGAGAUUUAGUGGUUCACAUUAUCUUUACAAACCGUGAAACUGUAAUUUUAUAACAGCAAUCUAGCUAGUCAAAGAUAAUAACCUUUGAGAUGAACUCAAAAGCGCAUAAUUAAUUGCUUAUAAAAAGAUAGGCAGCUUCAUAAACUGCUUCAUAGCUACAAGCUUCUUUCUCAAAGACUAAGAAUAAGAACGAUGGCCAAAGUAGUUAGUUCUCUCCUAUGCUUCAGUCUCUCCAUUGCUUUACUUGUCUUCUCUACAAACGCUGUUGAUGCGAAUGGCAGCAGUAGCCCUGUCUUCGUUUGUGACCCCGGUCGGUUCUCUAAACUUGGACUGCAAAUGUCAAGCUUUCUCUUCUGUGACUCAUCUUUACCCUACUCCAUAAGAGUGAAGGACUUGGUGAGCCGAAUGACCCUUGACGAAAAAGUGCAGCAACUCGGAGAUUUUGCUCACGGCGUCCCAAGGUUGGGGCUUCCGCAGUACGAGUGGUGGUCCGAAGCACUGCAUGGAGUGUCUAAUGUCGGUCCUGGCACUCAUUUCGAUGAUGUAAUUCCUGGAGCAACAAGUUUUCCCACUGUUAUCCUCACAACAGCUUCAUUCAAUGAGUCAUUGUGGAAAAAGAUAGGCCAGGUAUUUGAUCUCACGCGCCAUUUUAUUUAUUUUUGUUAGCAUGUCGUGGAUAAUUAAAUUAAUCGAAACAUUUUAAUAAGUGGUUCUUGCACUUCAUUAAAGUGUGUAAAAGUCUUUUUCAGAUCUUAAUAAAGUACGAAAAUCCUCGUUAAGAAAGCAUUCAUUAAACUAAAAACUCACUCUUUAUUGUUGUAGGCCGUUUCAACAGAAGCACGAGCGAUGUACAAUCUAGGGCGAGCUGGAUUAACAUAUUGGAGUCCAAACAUUAAUGUAGCGAGGGAUCCAAGGUGGGGAAGAAUCACUGAGACGCCCGGCGAAGAUCCUUUUGUUGUUGGAAGAUAUGCAGUCAACUAUGUUAGGCUGCUGUACGGCCAAGGCGGAUGUACGGUACAGCAGGCUGUAGCUUUUAAGCUACAGCUGCUGUGAAAAAAAAAUUAUAAUUAUAAAACAAAAGUUAAUAAUAUAUAAUAAAUAUAAAUUUUAAAUAAUAAUUUUAAUAAAAUUAUUAAAGAUAUAAUAAAUUUUAUAUUAUACAAGUGAAAAAUCAUAUCAACAUAGUUUAAAAGCUACAGCAGCUAGUGUUUACCAAACACUUUAGUGCUGUAGCUUUUAAGCUACAGCUGCCCAACCUCAAUCCCAAACGCACCCUUAGCCAAACAAUUUUGUUUUAGUUAGUUAAUUUGAAUAUGAAAAUCAGGAAAAUUAGGUCGUGGAUUAAUGUGGAUUCCGUUUCAGCCGAUCAAUUUGGUUGUAAUCCUUUGAACAAAUUAAUAUAUCUAGUUUCUUUCCCUUUUUUCUUAUGAAAAAGAUAAGUCUAAGACUCCAUUUCAUAAAUUAAUUAUAAAAAAAGAAGAAGUUAAUAUUAAUUAGUUAAUUCGAAAGAUUAAAACUAUUUCAUGAAUCGACGAGGUUUGAUUCCAAAUUCCAAUUAGUAGCUCUGGUUUCAUUUCCCAUUCAUCUCAACUUCAAUUAUUAAACGGGAGAACGUGUUCGAUACUCCAUAUGUGUUAUAUACACUGUUUAAUGAAUUGUUGUCAUAUGUUCGAGAGAGGCGAAAGAAUUAUUUGUACUAAAAACAUUGAUUUAUUUUUUCAUUGAUGAGGUAAAUAAAAUUAACUUUUCUAUAAUUGUUUCCAUUCAAAUUUUCAGAAAUUCACUCCUACACGUGCUACCACUACAAGCCCCUUCCUUUUAGCUUAAAUAAUGAAGAAUAAAUGGAUAAUACAGUCAAAAUGAGCUGGCUUGGUUUAUCUGGGCUCGUUAGGGGUCCAAGGGUAGUUCUUGGGCGAUCAGAAUUGUGUUCUCAUCAUGAGGUGUUUGUACAACAAGCAUCACAAUCUCGCAUCUCACAUCGUGCCCUAAUGAUGAUAUCAUAAACAAUAGUAAUAAUUAAUUGUACAUAUUUAAAAUAAUCUAUUGUGUAAUAGAAUAAUAGUACAAUCAAACGUCCGAGAGAACUUGAUGAAAUUUUCCAUUUUUUAAGAGAGAAAAAGGUAGCUUUGUUUUGAGUUCGCAGAAGAGCCACAGUGUCACUUUCCACUAAGUCCCCUAAUUUGAUGGGACUGUUAGUGAUCCCAAAACCCAAUUAAAAUCCAACUUCCUUGAGAACGAAGAUGUUAACUCAUAAUGUCAUCAUUUAGUCAACAGACUACACACUUGUCAAGCCUAAGCCAAUCAAAUGCAUAUUUCAUACACUUUCAUGUCGCCAUUUAACACUUUCUUGAUCACAUUGACCAAAUAUUCUCAUCAAUAAAUACACACUCAAAAUCAUAAAAGAUAAUACUACUCAACAAUAUUGAAUAAUGCAACUCAGUAAUUGCAGCCAUGGCCAGAAAAACAAUGUUCCUCUUUAUUUUCUUUUGUUUUCUUUUGAUUCUCCUCCCCCUCUCAGCUUCUGCAGAAUGCAAGUGUGAUCUCACUGAAACCAUCGGCGGCAGUGGCCACAAAAACAAAGCUUUGAAAUUGAAAAUCGUUGCGAUUCUAUCAAUCCUGAUUGCGGGUGCUUUCGGUGUUUCAAUUCCAAGCUUUGGAAAAAACAUCUCAACUUUUCAUCCUGAGAACAAUAUUUUCUUCAUAAUCAAAGCCUUCGCCGCCGGCGUGAUUCUUGCCACAGGCUUUGUCCACAUACUGCCUGAUGCGUAUGAGAGUCUAACAAGUCCAUGCUUAAGCCCAAAACCAUGGCAGGAUUUCCCUUUCACCGGGUUUGUGGCAAUGGUUUCCGCGAUUUUGACUAUGAUGGUUGAUGCAUUUGCCACAUCUUUUUAUCAACGUUUGCAUUUUAGUAAGGCUUUGCCUGUUAAUGAUGAUGACAAGGAGAUGCAUGCAGAGCAUGAAGGUCAUGUUCAUGUACAUACACAUGCCACGCACGGCCAUGCUCAUGGCUCUGCUUUUGCAUCGUCGGAUGCUUCUGGUUCUGGGACUUCUGAUCUUUUCCGACACCGAAUUGUAUCACAGGUAUCAAUUGAUGUGAGUUGAUAGUUUACUUUCCCCUUUGUUUUCUAUUACACCAUUCUGAUGGUGAGAAAAAAAAAACAAAUAAAUCCUCAAAUAUUUUAUUUUAAUUAAACUAUCUAAUUCUUUUCCAAAAAAAAAAACUAAACUAUCUAAUCGAAGAAGCAAUUUCCAGAGAUGACAAAACUUGUAACAAGUACUUCUGAUAAUUUAUCGCGCCGCUUGUGUUUGCGCAUGUUCCAGAAGUUGACUGACUAACUUGUAAGUACGUCCUGAAAGUCCUUUGGUGUGGUCAAUCAAUUGCACGUACACGUUGGGCUAGGUGGGUUCCAUGAUAACAGUUCCUGACUUUGCAUCAAUCUUGGCAUCAGGUUUUGAGUUGCGAAUAAGAUUCAGAAAGUCAGUUUUGCAGAAAGCAUUAUCUGUGAAGUCAGUUUUGCAGAAAGCAUUAUCUGUGACACUACUGAUAUGCUUUCUGAUACAAAGAUGGGUCGAUGUUUUCUGGUACUGAUAUGACAUUAGUUGGAAAAUGGAACUGUGUUUACUGUUUGUAUCAUGUGGGUAGUGCAAAAAAUAGGAUAAAGGCAUUUACAGUGUGGGGCUAUCUUGCCUUUAUCUUCAUUUGAAUUAUAUUUCAUUUGAAUUAUAUUUAAAGCAUAUAUGGUGAAGAUACUACACUAUAUCUAUCUGUUCGUUGAAAAGUUUGUUCACUAUUGCGAAGCCUUCAAUUCUCCUCCACGUAACAAAAUUGAAUGUUUUAUAGGUAUUAGAGUUGGGGAUAGUUGUGCAUUCGGUGAUCAUUGGGAUUUCACUGGGUGCUUCCGGAAGUGUAAAGACAAUCAAGCCCCUCGUAGCAGCACUAACUUUUCACCAGUUCUUUGAAGGCAUGGGCCUUGGUGGAUGCAUCUCUCAGGUACUCUCUACUCGUUAGUCACAAAUUUUAAAAUGUAAAAGCCAAGAACACAAAAUAUAAAGAGCAUUGAUGGUGUUGAUUUGUUUGUGGAAGCAGGCAAAGUUCAAGUCAAAAGCCGUAGCGGCAAUGAUACUUUUCUUUUCCCUGACCACUCCCGUCGGGAUUGGAAUUGGGAUUGGGAUAUCAAAAGUUUACAAAGAGAAUAGCCCAACAGCUCUUGUUAUUGAAGGCAUUUUCAACUCUGCUUCAGCUGGAAUCUUGAUCUAUAUGGCGCUUGUGGAUCUUCUUGCAACGGAUUUUAUGAGUCCUAAGUUGCAAACCAAUUUCAAGUUGCAGCUUGGAGCUAAUUUUUCUCUUCUUUUAGGCUCAGGUUGCAUGUCUCUCUUGGCUAAAUGGGCCUAAAAUUCACAGCCAUGCUUUCGCCUUCCUGUUUUUACGAAAUGCAAACUUGUUCAUGACUUAUUGCAACUUAAAGCGUAAUUGCCUUCAUGUAAAAUAUAAUAUUAAGGGUUAAUUAUCUGUGGGUAACACUUGUUUUGAUAUAUUAUAAAAGGAUUAUACAUAUUUUAAAAAUACUCGAUUAGGUGAUAAUCCGUUAAGUGUUACUAUUAAUUCUAAUGGAAGUGGUAAAUCAGUUAGGAAAUGACGUGUUUGUUUCUACUCAUUGAUUUUUAAUUUUUUUCAAUAGAAAAAUAUAUAAAAUUAAAUGUAAAUCUUAAGUUGAAUUCAUUAACAAGACUUUUUUUAAAAGAUAAAUCAAUUUUUUUGAAAAAAAAUUAUUGUUGAAUCAAACUCAUUUUUAACAUAAUAAAAGGCAAUCUCUCAUGAAUCAAGAUAAAUCUAUGUUGCGUUUACUAAACUGAAAUAAAAAUGAGUUAGAAUCGGAAUGGAUAGGAAUGUGAAUGGGCUGAAAUGAGAAUAGGGAAUGGGAAUCAUAAUAAGUUAUUUGCUUGAAGUGUAGAAAUCGAAAUCGGAAUGAGCUGAAUUGUCAUAAAUGUGUUUACUUUGUCUUGGAAUCGGAAUCGGAAUCGGAAUGAGUUAGAUUGUAACAAUUUAUUAAAAAGCACUUAAUGAAUUAUUGUCAUAAUUAUUAUUUUAUAUUUUAAUUAUAGUGAUUAUUUAUUCAAAAAUUAUUAUUAUUAUUAAUUAUUUUCAAUAAUAUUGAUAUAUUAAUUAAUAAUAUUAUUACUUAUUUAAUUAUAAUAAUAUAAUAAUUAUUGUGAUUAUUUAUUCAAAAACUAUAAUUAUUAAUAUAUUGUUGUUAAUAAUGUAUUAAUAUAUUAAUUAAUAGUAAUAAUUAUAUUAAUUAAUUAAUAAUAAUAAUAUGCGAAUUAAUUAUAAUAAUUAUAUUAAUGAUUAUUAUGAUAGUAUAUUUAUUAAUUAAUUAUAAUAAUAAAAAUACAUUAAUUAUUGUGAUUAUUUAUUCAAAAACUAUGAUUAUUAAUAUAUUAUUGUUAAUAAUGUAUUAAUAUAUUUAUUAAUAGUAAUAAUUAUAUAUAUUAAUUAAUAGUAAUAUUUAUUUCAAUUAAUUAAUGAUAAUAUAUGAAUUAAUUAUAAUAACUAUAUUAAUAAUUAUUAUAAUAGAAUAGUAAUUAAUUAAUUAUAAUAAUAAUAUAUUAAUUAUUGUGAUUAUUUAUUCAAAAAUUACAAUUAUUAAUAAUGUACCGAUAUACUAAUUAACUAUAAUAUACUAAUUAAUUAAUUAUAAUAGUAUAUUAAUUAAUUAUAUAUUUGGCUUUUUUAUUUUUAAUAAUUAUAUUUUUUGUUUAAAGGAGGGGCAUUUUAGGAAAUUUAAUAUGUCAAUGGGGCAAAAUGGGAACUCUAGGGAAUGGGAGAUUGAUUCCCACCCCCCCGUAGGAAUCAAUCUCCUAUUUCCCAUUCCUAAAUAGUUGUGGGCCCUACGAUUUCGAUUCCGAUUCCUACUCCAUUUUUACGAAGUAAAUGCCGUCAAUUAUUCCGAUUUUGGAUUUUGAUUCCCAAUGCGGGAAGUAAACACACCACUAAUGUUUUUAUUUCAUUAGCUCUAAUUUUGCAAAUGUUGGACUUGAUUCCUCAAGAAUCAGUUUGAGUCCGGUUUUAUGGCUUAGUAAGCAUUUGUUUUAACUUGCAAUUACUAUCGUGCUAUGAAUGUAGAGAAGAUGAAGCAUGUAGAUGGAGCACGGGAAAGACAAAGAAAGAAGGGGGGGGGGGGGGGGGGGAGGGAGAAAGAAAAGAAAAGAACAAAGAGAUAACAAACAAAAUGUGGAAGAUAAAUAAAUUUAUUUUUCUAAUGUUACCUUUGUGCUAUUAGAGUUAAUGACAAAAAUUAACUAAUUACCACUUGAUUGAAUGUUUUAAAAACAUGAGUCAUAUUUUAAAAACUAGAAAAUAGAACCGCACUUCACGCGGCUUUGAAAAAAGAAUUUAGUAUUAUCGUUUUUUUUUACUUUACACUUGAUGAAACUGAUAAAAAAUAUAAAUUGAUUUUUUUUUAAGAUAAGACAGCCUUAUAAAAAACAAAAAAAACUAUUAGCCAGCAAUACAAAUAAAGAAGUAACACAAUAUAAAUAAUAAAAUGAGAAAAUAUAUUAUAGAGUGAUUUUAUUCAUUCCAAUUGUGUGUGUACAAAACAAAAAGAUGAGCUCUCCUUUUAUAAUUACAUAAUCAUUUCAUGAAAUUAAUGAAAAAUUAUGGAUCAUAAUUUCUUGUGAGAUAGUGGGAGUUACAGGGAAGCUAAAGGUUGCUAAUGGGAGAUAGUGGGGAGACUAAGAGAUAUAUGUUAUGAACAUCUACAUUUAUUUUAAUAAAUUCAUAACACUCCCCCUUGGAUGUUCAUUACAAAGAAUAUGCCUCAUUAAAAUAUUUACAUAAUUGUUAUUGUGUAAUAACAAUCAAAUUAAUUAUGAGAAGAUGAAAAACCAAAUAUAAAAGAAAAUUCUCUAUUUAUUAGAUAAUAGAGAAUAUACAAAGAUGAGAAAUGGUGAUGCCACAUCACCUCCUCAAGCCCCAGCUUUAUAUAUAUACUAGAAAAUAGAACCGCGUUUUACGCGGCUUUGAAAAAAGAAUUUAGUAUUAUCUUUUUUUCUUACUUUAAUUUUAUUUGUGUAUUACAUUUAUAUAUGUGUGUGUGUGUGUGAUAUUUUAAUUGAGAGAAAGAGAUACAGUAUUAAAAAUAAUAACAUCUGCAUUUCCAUUCAAUGUUAAAAUGUUGUGAUAUCAAUAGUGAUAGGUGGACAAAAAUAAGUAUACCAUCAUUGAAAGACAGAAAAAUUAUUACAAAACAGAAAGAAAUUUUAUUACAGGACAAUUUUUUAUGGCAUGUAUUUGUUUGCCUUUUUUUUUUUGUACUCAUUUCAAUGCAUACGUCAUUACUCAUGUAACAUAUAUUUUAAUUGAGUAAAAUUAUUUAAUGGUCACGGUAUAUAUCCAUUUCCAUUAGAUUUUUUCUAUGGUCUGUUGGGAUUAUCCCACAUCGGUUGUAAAAGGAAUUGGUGGUGACUUCAUACGUGUGAUAAAAAGCCUCACCUCCCAAGUUAGUUUUUGAGGUUGAGAGAGGUACAAAACCACCUAACAUUGAUAUUAGAGCUUAGGUUUACCAACAUUUCAACAUAUAAUAUGUAUUUAUGCUUUUGACCCAAGACUCGAUGUGUGAGGCGUAGAUUGAUGGCGUUAUCCCACAUCAAUUGUGGAAGAGGCUGGUGGUGACUUAAUAAUUGUGAUGGAAAGCCUCAACUUCUAAAUUAGUUUUUGAGGUUGAGAGAGGACCAUGUAAUGGGAUUCGCUAAUCUGAUCUUCAUUUGGGUUUUUAUUGCUAUUUUGUUUAAUUUAAUUUUGUUUGUAGAUGAACAGAAGUUAGUUUAGCUCCAAGAAGUAAAGAUCUAAUAACACUCAUGUCAAAAGUUAAUUGUGUAUUGAUUUUUGUUCGUGAUUUUGUACAUACAUGUAUAUCAUCAUUACUUAGAGAUAAACGGUCUUAUCAAAAUAAAUAAAUAAAUGGGACGCGUGUCUGGUGGCACUCCGGCGCAUGAGUGGUUUAGUGAGUUCUUCUUCUAAGUGUUAGAUAUAUUAUAUGAUUGAAAUUUAGAUAGUAUCAUAAUUAAAAAAAAAAAAAUUGGAUUACUUAUAAAUUAUAAUAGAUUCGUGAUACAUGUGUGUGCAGAGAGAGAGAGAGAGGUAAGAAAUUGGUAAAUUUUAAAUCUAUUUUUUAGCCCUCAUCUUUUCCUGAAUUUUGAUGAUCAGCUAAAUAAACUACUUAGAAUCACUAGGCAAAACUGGAAAGUGGGAAAAAAAUUUAAAAAAAUUUUAAUUUGCACUACUACACAGAGGUUUCUGUAAUAUUUGAUGUCAUUUUCAAGUGAAGUUCAUUGCUCAACUAAAGUGAUCUUGAACGAAUCUUAUAUAUUAAAGCUUUCUGAGAAACUUGAGGUUUCUAAAAGCCGAGCCCGAUUGAGUUAUCUACCAUCUUUAUAUUAUGAGUGAUGAUACAGUCACAAAUUUUUGUAUGAAUUUAUUUUGUACAAAUUGAUAUAUCAUCAAUUCAUUGGUUGAAUGAAAAUACAAAAUAAUAAAAAUAAAUCAUGUGGGCCAAAAGAUAUUUAAUUUAACCAAUGAAUUAAUGUCAUAUCAGUUUGUACAAGAAUUUGUGACUAUAUCAUUACUCUUAUAUUAUUCGUUAUCACCAUUAAUGGAAGCUUGCAGAAAUCUGGAAUAUUGCAUGAUAUGAGCUCAUUUGUUUCAACUUUUUUGUGUUCAUUUUGACUGAGCUCAUAGAUCUGGUUUUAUUUCAAAAUUUACAAAUAAAAUCCACACGCAACGGAAUAAUUCAAAUGAAAAGACAAAUUACGAGCAGUCAUAAUGUCGUCAUUGAAUUCAACAACCACUCACUUGAAAUCUAGCUCCAGCUGGAUCACGUCCAAAAUUGAAUGAGCUUAUUGCAUGUCCUCAUUUAGCUCUUAACUGUCUUCAUCAGCUUUUGCCUCUCUAUAUAUAUGCACACAUACACACUUCAAUAUUUCAUCAGCAGCAUCCGAAAACUUUUCUUUUUUCCUUCCAAACCUGCUACCCAUUUGAAAAAUUAAUUAGCUGAAGCAGGAGAUCAUGAAUAUAUGCUUUGAACAUCCUGAGCUGUUUGGCUAUUCUCGCUGUAAACUCUUGAUAUCCCAAUUUGUAUAAUUUCUUAUUUUUCACUACUUUAGUUGGAAUUGGUGUUGGGGUAUUAAGAGUUUACAAUGAGAUAGCCAACGGCUCAUGUUGUUUUGAAGGCAUAUAUAUGAUAUAGGUUGGUUACGUAGAAUGAGUGGUGUAUUUUACAGAUGUGGAAAGUCGGGCUACAGGUAUUCGUUUUAGACAUAUAAUAUAUCAUUUUGAAUCUUGUGACAAGAUGAACCAAACUUAGAACAACAUGUGGUUGAUCUAGAAAUUUUGUUUCUUUUCUGGUCAUUUUGUUAUUCUAAGUAUUUGUUCUCUCUAUUUUUCCUAUAGAUUUCAGGAUUUUUUUUCUUUUUUUUUUAAAUAUUGGAUUUAGAUGCCAUUUGUUUUGUUUUCCUUAUUUAGAGUAGAAGAAUUUUAUUAUAAAAUAUUAUUUUUAAUUUGCAUGUUUUAGUAAAUUCAUGAUAUUUAGAACUCGUAUAUCAUUUAUGCAUCGAUACUACUUCUUCUCUAUUAAUUCCUCGCUCCAUUAGGUUUUAUAAUUUACAAUUUUGACGCUGCUUCUUCUCUAUUUAAUUUCCUUGUCGAUUAACUAAGCAUGUUAUUUGGUGACAAAUUCAUCUCUUUUCCCUUUAAGGUGGUGUUUGGUUGGAAGAAGAGAAUGGAGGAGAGGAAAAUAAUUUAAAUUAUCUUUUUAUUUCCAUUGUUUGGUUUGACAAAAUAUAUAAGAAUUUAAUUUCCAUUAAAAUUUAAUAUCCAUCAUAAUUUAGAAUUUGAAGUCCACACCUAAUAAUGAAGAAUUUAAAUUCCUCUUAUGUUAGAAAUUAAAGUUUUCAAAAUUACCCUUCAACUUUUAAACUUGUUUAAUGCCAUUAAUAAUUAUUAUUUAUAAUUUUAUUUUAUUGAUUUAAUAUUAUAAAUGGACCUUCACCGAAAAGUCACCGGACCACCGCCGGACGUCAUUGGAAAGUCGCCGGAUGUAGCCAAACUUUCACCGGAAAGUCGGUGGACCUCCACCAGACCUCGCCGGAAAGACACCAGACCUUCGCCACCGGCCACCGGACAACCAUUUUAUUAUAUAUAUAUAUAUAUAUAUUAUUAUUACUAAUUUAAAUAGUUUAAUUUUUAAAGUAAAAGAUAAAUUUGUCUUAAAAAAAAUUAUAAUUCAUUUUGAUCCUUAUCAAAUUUUAUAUCAAAUCAAACAAUAAAAUCUAAUUUCACUACUCUUCUCCGUUCCUUUCUUUUCUCUUCCUCUCCAUUCCACUCUUUUCCUCUCCUCAUUUUUUUUCAAACCAAACAUGGCCUAAGUUUUUUUAAAAUAAUUUGAACAUGUGCAUGUAUAGUCUUUCUCCCAGUUAUAAAACAUCCAAAUUAAUUCAAAUUAUUAAGUCGUAGGUUUGGUGGUUUGACUUGAAGAUGACCACGUGGUAAUCUAAUUAAGACUAUUGCCUAAAUUACAACUUGAAUAAAAUAAAAUUAUCUUAUUUAAAUUAGACCAUAUAUUCAUUAGUUUUCCUUUUUCCUAAUUUAAUUCUUAUUCAAGUUGUAAUUUUAUUUUAGGCAAGAGUCUUAAAUUUAAGUUAUUAAAAUAUAGUUUUUUUGUAAGAUUGAGUGUUGAGUUUCUAUUUAUUCGGUGUUCUCUAUAAUCAAUUAAUCUUAACAUAGUAGAUUUAUUCUUAAAAUCAACGUGAAUUCUAAUUUAGAACCACGCAACAGUAAGCAGAUUAACCGAAUAUGACUCAAGACACCAAAGCCUUGGCCAUAGAACUUUCGCGUGAAAAAAAACCGAUGAUCAAUUCAAUAUGAGUUUGUUAGGAUAAAUAGAUCUAUAAAUAAACACUUUGGGGCUACGAUAGAAUUUGCGUGAACAACAUGAAGUUCAAAGAGAAGCUGAAGUUUUUCGUUUGGACUCAUUGCUAGGAUUAGAUGAUUUCAGAUAUUUGGUGGGUCAAAUCGAUUCCUCAUUAUUCACUAAUAAGGGCCAUGUAAUUGUAUGUCAAUUUUAUGAUUCAACAUUUCAACGUAUAUCAAAUUAGUUUUUGGUGUUUCAGUUAGUUUUCCAGUACCAUUUUUAAAAGAUUUUACAGGGACAAAUGUUAGGAAAUUGAGCUUCCUCCCAAGAUCACUCCAAGCAAUUUAUCAAGCAACAAAUUAAUAGAAAAAAAUUUAAUGGAGAAUACACCAAUCACAUAACACAAGAUUUACGUGGAAAACUCCAAAUCCGGAGAAAAACCACGGCCGUUGUCACAAGACAACCAGAGAUAAAUAUUCACUGUGUGGAAAAUUAUUACAACUACUCUCAGAAAUAAUUUUCUCUCACCCAAGCCCCAAAUACAUAAUCCCAAUAAAUAUUCCUUAACAAAGCAAACUCAUAAUACUCAUAUUGAGGAGCCAAAUGCUCCUUCAAUAUAACUACAUGCUUAAGAAUAUUUUUAUCUCUCAAUUCUCACCAAAAUUUUGAUCGCUUCUCUGGGAUUUGGAUACAAAAAUAAGGAUGAGCACUCCUCUAUUUAUAGCCAAAUUAUGACUUCAUUUUCUUCCUUUUUUCCUUCUUUCCAUGGGCGGCACCUACCCAUUUUCCUUGUUCAAUGGCUAGCCACCCACCAUCUUUGAAUUCAAAGAUGGUUGCUCAACCACCCACCAUUUUGACACUUUUUUUUUAAAAUCAAUUUUCAACAAUCUCCACCUUGAUUAAAAAAGAAACAAAAUUCAUAGCCACUACUACAAAAUACUGUCUUCACCAAUAGUCAUAAUUCUCAACAUAGAGAAUUAUCAUACUCCACCAUAAAGAGUAUACCACUUAGAAUCAACCAUUCUAAGAUUUUUCUCGGCACAUGUCAAAAUAUAUUGCUGAAAUUUUUGGUGCAAUUCUCAUGCUUGGUUUCCCUAAGAAUUCUUCAGCUAGAGGUGGCAAAAAUACCCGCCCGGUCCGGACCUGAACCGUAUCCGGGCGUUGUGGGCCGGGUAUUACCCAGUCCGGGUAUGAAGCCGGGUUGAUAUUG
rnacentral:lncRNA from 1 species